ensembl:lncRNA
CUUAAAGAGCUUGAGAGAUGGAAGGCAACGGAACAUAGGCAGUUUAUGUUAUAUACAGGAAAGAUUGUGCUGAAGGGGGUCCUUAAAGAUGAAUUUUUCAGCCACUUCAUGACAUUCAGUGUGGCAAUGAACAUACUUGUAAGUCCAGCAUUGGUCGAGCAACACUGGAGAUAUGCUGCUGAUCUCCUUCGAUUCUUUGUUGAGAGAGGCCGAGAACUUUAUGGUAACCAGUUUCUGGUCUACAACGUGCACUCAAUGUUGCACAUUGUGGAGGAUGCCGUGACCUUUGGAGGAUUGGACAAUUGUAGCGCUUUUAAAUUUGAAAAUUGUCUCAAGAAAAUAAAGAGGAUGGUAAGGAGUGGAAGAUGCCCCCUGUCACAAGUGGUGAAAAGGCUGGAGGAAUGCGCUGGACAGCCAAUGGAGCAUGGUAGGCAGAGGUCCAAUUCUUCUUUUAUUUUGAAUCGCCGCGAAUGCUGCGAGGUCAUAGAGGAGAGGGAUGGAAGUCAGCUUUGCCGUGUAUACCAGCACCCAGAACCACUUUUCAGUGUCCCUUGUGACUCCACAUUAAUCGGAGUACUGAAGUACAAGAACAAUGACACCGUUUUGAGAUGGAUCCAAAAAGACAACCUGAAAAGAAAGGCAAUCAAGAUUCCUGUUGGGGAAAAAAUCCUCUUCAUGGCCAUUCUUCAUGACAUUGCAAAUGUAUAGCAUCGUCUAAUUUUUGGGGGAAAGGACUGUUGGCAUAGUGGCCAGUAAUUGGAUUUUAAAAGAGGGAGAUAAGACAUGCAGCUACUGGCCACUCCACAAGCCCACACAGAGGGCAAAGGACAAAGAUUUGCCCGAUCCUGAAACCUGGCUAAAAAGGCCAAUAAAAAUAUUUUCCUCAACAGAUGAUUGGGAUCAGGCCGUCAGGAGGAACAAGAGGGCGGAGACAAAGUCCUGUGUGGAGACAGGAAAUUAGGACAAUGGGAGGCGCAUCAUCGUCAAACCCCAAAAAUGUAUUCACACCGGUGAAAAGAAAACAAAGAAACGAAAUGGGAAAAAGGCAGGACAAGGUCCACAUUUCAGGACUUCCCUUCCUCCUCCACCCCAGAUAGAAUCCCCCAUUCCACGGCGUAGCCCACUACAAAUAUCUUCACCCCCUGUGACUGACGAUUACUCCCCUCCUUCACCGGCAAGAGACGUUUUUACAGAAAAUGAUGGUAAAAUGAUUCGAUCGCAACUUCAUUUGAAACGCCAUUGCCUAUCUCUACUGGGGACGGUGACCGAAGAGAGAGAGAAACCAUACCAAUCUGGGCAAAGAAUAUCAACGCGACAUUGGAGGUUCUGCUCCGAAAGCUUGAGACUGUUGAGCAGAAUCAGAGAGAGGCUCUAUUAUUGCUACGGGCAAAUCGACAUGGGGACCCUGGGGAAGCUAGUGUCGAGUUACUGCAGGCGCAAACUCAGGCCGAACUACAGGAACUCGAGGAGCACCUUAAAAAUAGAGAUUUCACAAAAAAAAUGAUUUCCCAUCUGAGCCUAGUUGGGGGGUCCAAUCCUGGGGAGUGUGUGAGGAGGGUGUUGCGCUCUGUGGCCUCAAACUUUGUUUGGAGCAGCUACAGCCUUAGGGGAAAGAAGGGGAAGAUGCCACUGCUUGGUACAGCAGUGGGCAGUACCAUCAAACAGGCGAUCAUGAAAUGGAAGCCGGGGCUGGAAGAGAAGGAGGUGGAGCUUCUGAUGGCAGAGGUCUUGAAACAUGCUCCCUCAGCCCACUCCAAAAGUUUG